AACGAACGCUGGCGGCAUGCCUAACACAUGCAAGUCGAACGAGACCUUCGGGUCUAGUGGCGCACGGGUGCGUAACGCGUGGGAACCUGCCCUUAGGUUCGGAAUAACUCCCCGAAAGGGGUGCUAAUACCGGAUAAUGUCUUCGGACCAAAGAUUUAUCGCCUUUGGAUGGGCCCGCGUUGGAUUAGCUAGUUGGUAGGGUAAAAGCCUACCAAGGCGACGAUCCAUAGCUGGUCUGAGAGGAUGAUCAGCCACACUGGGACUGAGACACGGCCCAGAAUCCUACGGGAGGCAGGAGGGGGGAAUAUUGGAACAUGGGGGGAAGGCUGAUCCAGCAAUGCCGCGUGAGUGAUGAAGGCCUUAGGGUUGUAAAGCUCUUUUACCCGGGAUGAUAAUGACAGUACCGGGAGAAUAAGCGCCGGCUAACUCCGUG
rnacentral:rRNA from 1 species